rnacentral:rRNA from 1 species
GACGAACGCUGGCGGCACGUUUUAAGCAUGCAAGUCGAACGGCAGUGGGGGCAACCUCAUGAGAGUGGCGAACGGGUGAGUAACACGUAGGUGAUCUGCCUUUAGGUUGGGGAUAGCUUGUGGAAACACAGGGUAAUACCGGAUGAGCUGAGUGUCACUUUGGUGAUUUUGGUAAAGGUGCUACGGCACCGCCUAGAGAGGAGCCUGCGGCUGAUUAGCUAGUUGGUGGGGUAAAGGACUACCAAGGCGACGAUCAGUAGCCGGCCUGAGAGGGUGUACGGCCACACUGGAACUGAGACACGGUCCAGGCUCCUAUGGGAGGCAGCAGCUAAGAAUCUUCCGCAAUGGGCGAAAGCCUGACGGAGCGAUGCCGCGUGAUCGAUGAAGGUCGAGAGAUUGUAAAGAUCUUUUCCAACUGAGGAAUAAGUGGACCAGGGAAUGGGUUCAUGAUGACGUUAAGUUGGGAAUAAGCCCCGGCUAAUUACGUGCCAGCCGCCGCAGUAA